GAUGAACGCUAGCGAUAGGCUUAACACAUGCAAGUCGAGGGGCAGCAUGAUCUUAGCUUGCUAAGGUUGAUGGCGACCGGCGCACGGGUGCGUAACGCGUAUGCAACUUGCCUUACAGAGGGGGAUAACCCGUUGGAAGACGGACUAAAACCGCAUACACUUGUAUUAUUGCAUGAUAUUACAAGGAAAUAUUUAUAGCUGUAAGAUAGGCAUGCGUCCCAUUAGCUGGUUGGUGAGGUAACGGCUCACCAAGGCGACGAUGGGUAGGGGAACUGAGAGGUUUAUCCCCCACACUGGUACUGAGACACGGACCAGACUCCUACGGGAGGCAGCAGUGAGGAAUAUUGGUCAAUGGGCGAUAGCCUGAACCAGCCAAGUCGCGUGAAGGAAGACAGUAACUUCUUUUAUACGGGAAUAACGGGCGAUACGAGUAUUGCAUUGAAUGUACCGUAAGAAUAAGCAUCGGCUAACUCCGUGCCAGCAGCCGCGGUAAUACGGAGGAUGCGAGCGUUAUCCGGAUUUAUUGGGUUUAAAGGGUGCGUAGGUUGUUCGGUAAGUCAGCGGUGAAACCUGAGCGCUCAACGUUCAGCCUGCCGUUGAAACUGCCGGGCUUGAGUUCAGUGGCGGCAGGCGGAAUUCGUGGUGUAGCGGUGAAAUGCAUAGAUAUCACGAGGAACUCCGAUUGCGAAGGCAGCUUGCCAUACUGCGACUGACACUGAGGCACGAAGGCGUGGGUAUCAAACAGGAUUAGAUACCCUGGUAGUCCACGCAGUAAACGAUGAUUACUAGGAGUUUGCGAUAUACCGUCAAGCUUCCACAGCGAAAGCGUUAAGUAAUCCACCUGGGGAGUACGCCGGCAACGGUGAAACUCAAAGGAAUUGACGGGGGCCCGCACAAGCGGAGGAACAUGUGGUUUAAUUCGAUGAUACGCGAGGAACCUUACCCGGGAUUGAAAUGUAGAUGACGGAUGGUGAAAGCCGUCUUCCCUUCGGGGC
rnacentral:rRNA from 1 species